rnacentral:tRNA from 1 species
GGGCCUGCAGCUUAGUCUGCUUAGAGCGUCCGGUAUAUAAAAGGGCACUCACCGGUUCAAAUCCGGUCAGGACCA